rnacentral:rRNA from 1 species
AGCGAACGCUGGCGGCAGGCCUAACACAUGCAAGUCGAACGGACCUUUCGGGGUUAGUGGCGGACGGGUGAGUAACACGUGGGAACGUGCCUUUAGGUUCGGAAUAGUUCCUGGAAACGGGUGGUAAUGCCGAAUGUGCCCUUCGGGGGAAAGAUUUAUCGCCUUUAGAGCGGCCCGCGUCUGAUUAGCUAGUUGGUGAGGUAAUGGCUCACCAAGGCGACGAUCAGUAGCUGGUCUGAGAGGAUGACCAGCCACAUGGGACUGAGACACGGCCCAAACUCCGACGGGAGGCAGCAGUGGGGAAUCUUGCGCAAUGGGCGAAAGCCUGACGCAGCCAUGCCGCGUGGAUGAUGAAGGUCUUAGGAUUGUAAAAUCCUUUCACCGGUGAAGAUAAUGACUGUAGCCGGAGAAGAAGCCCCGGCUAACUUCGUGCCAGCCGCCGCGAUAAAAC